rnacentral:lncRNA from 1 species
CAGGGUGCUAAAAGGCACAGGGAGGACCUUCACUAACUUGAAUCAUUUGUUGAGGGAUUUAUCUUACAUCCCUUCUGUCCUUGACCCUUGCCAGGCCCCUUAGAUGGCUUACUAGAAAGAAGACUGGGCUCCUGGACCCUCAGCUGGAGAAAAGUACAAAUCACAUUAUGCCUGGAUUUCCUCUCAACAUCUUCACAGAGGGAAAGAAACUGAAGAACAGGGUAUAUUAGUGCCUGACCAAAGAGUGAAUGAUUGGAAUGAAUCCCAAAUUUCAGAGUAUAAUUCCACCCUGGGGCUGCAGAUGAGAGCUAGGAUGAGGUUCUGAAUAAGACUGGUUGCAGUGGGAAUAGGUAAGAGGGGC